rnacentral:tRNA from 1 species
UGGAAUGUAGCCCAGUUUACAGCACUUGCAUGCCAUGCAUGAGGUCCUGGGUUCAAUUCCCAGUACUUCAA